UGUUGACGGAAAUUUCCGAAUUUUCGGGAAUUUUCGGGUUUUUUAUAUUUUCUCAGUAUUUUCGAGUUCUAUACUGUAUUUAUCUCCUGUGCCUAUAUAUAGGUCCUUUCCCUGACCUAUUAGACACAUCUUUUCACAUCUCUUCACCUCCUUUCUUUUUCUUUUUCUUUUUUUCAGUUUUACAUUCAGUUUUCAUAGAUUAGAUUUAUUUCUGCAGAUUCAAGCUGUUCAUCCAGAAUUUCUUCCGGGUUUUAUCUAUUUCAUUUAUUUUAAUUGCUUUCUUUUUAUUUAUGCUUUUGAUUUAUUUUAGUAUGUCUGGCUAGUUCGUUAAUCUGAACCUAGGGUUUGUACAUAGCUGAUUAAUUAUGUGUGUAUGAUUUAUUGAUAUCAAUUUGCC
rnacentral:lncRNA from 1 species